GCCAGGAGUUGUGGUGGGCGCCUGUAGUCCCAGCUACUCGGGAGGCUGAGGCAAGAGAAUCGCUUGAGCCCAAGAGCUGGAGGUUGCUGUGAGCUGUGACGCCACAGCACUAUACUGAGGGUGACAAAGUGAGACUCUGUCUCUAAAAAAAAAAAAUCUUUUUUGGCGACAAGAGUCUCACUUUGUCACCCUGGGUAAAGGGCUAUGGCAUCAUAGCUCACAGCAACCUCAAACACUUGGGCUCAAGCAAUCCUCUUGC
rnacentral:sRNA from 1 species